rnacentral:lncRNA from 1 species
UGUGUGAGCUCUACUGCGUAUGGUGUCGCCUUGCGUUCUAUUCCUGAGUCCCUCCUUAUAUAGCUCCAAGGAGAGACCCAGGGUACAUGUAUAGGCGUCAGAGUAGGGGUCGAUAGCAGCAUGGAGCACUGACCUACUCGAGGCUUCCGUACGGCAUGGCCUCGAGCUGUCCCAUCUUGAUAGUCUGAUGAUGAUUACGCGUGCCCCUGCAUUCUGCCCUGCGCGCCGUCUUGCGCUGG